AGCGAACGCUGGCGGCAGGCCUAACACAUGCAAGUCGAACGAAGUCUUCGGACUUAGUGGCGGACGGGUGAGUAACACGUGGGAACGUGCCUUUAGGUUCGGAAUAACUCAGGGAAACUUGUGCUAAUACCGAAUGUGCCCUUCGGGGGAAAGAUUUAUCGCCUUUAGAGCGGCCCGCGUCUGAUUAGCUAGUUGGUGAGGUAAAGGCUCACCAAGGCGACGAUCAGUAGCUGGUCUGAGAGGAUGAUCAGCCACAUUGGGACUGAGACACGGCCCAAACUCCUACGGGAGGCAGCAGUGGGGAAUCUUGCGCAAUGGGCGAAAGCCUGACGCAGCAUGCCGCGUGAAUGAUGAAGGUCUUAGGAUUGUAAAAUUCUUUCACCGGGGACGAUAAUGACGGUACCCGGAGAAGAAGCCCCGGCUAACUUCGUG
rnacentral:rRNA from 1 species